AGAGUUUGAUCCUGGCUCAGAGCGAACGCUGGCGGCAGGCUUAACACAUGCAAGUCGAGCGGGCGUAGCAAUACGUCAGCGGCAGACGGGUGAGUAACGCGUGGGAACGUACCUUUUGGUUCGGAACAACACAGGGAAACUUGUGCUAAUACCGGAUAAGCCCUUACGGGGAAAGAUUUAUCGCCGAAAGAUCGGCCCGCGUCUGAUUAGCUAGUUGGUGUGGUAACGGCGCACCAAGGCGACGAUCAGUAGCUGGUCUGAGAGGAUGAUCAGCCACAUUGGGACUGAGACACGGCCCAAACUCCUACGGGAGGCAGCAGUGGGGAAUAUUGGACAAUGGGCGCAAGCCUGAUCCAGCCAUGCCGCGUGAGUGAUGAAGGCCCUAGGGUUGUAAAGCUCUUUUGUGCGGGAAGAUAAUGACGGUACCGCAAGAAUAAGCCCCGGCUAACUUCGUGCCAGCAGCCGCGGUAAUACGAAGGGGGCUAGCGUUGCUCGGAAUCACUGGGCGUAAAGGGUGCGUAGGCGGGUCUUUAAGUCAGGGGUGAAAUCCUGGAGCUCAACUCCAGAACUGCCUUUGAUACUGAGGAUCUUGAGUUCGGGAGAGGUGAGUGGAACUGCGAGUGUAGAGGUGAAAUUCGUAGAUAUUCGCAAGAACACCAGUGGCGAAGGCGGCUCACUGGCCCGAUACUGACGCUGAGGCACGAAAGCGUGGGGAGCAAACAGGAUUAGAUACCCUGGUAGUCC
rnacentral:rRNA from 1 species